rnacentral:rRNA from 1 species
UAUAGCGAAGGAAGCCUUUACCAUCUUGACAUCUUUUGACCCAUCUAGAGAGAUAGAUUUUUCCUUUGGGGGACAGAAUGACAGGUGGUGCAUGGUUGUCGUCAGCUCGUGUCGUGAGAUGUUGGGUUAAGUCCCGCAACGAGCGCAACCCUUAAGGUUAGUUGCCAUCAUUAAGUUGGGCACUUUAAGGAGACUGCCGGUGACAAACCGGAGGAAGGUGGGGAUGACGUCAAAUCAUCAUGCCCCUUAUGAUUUGGGCUACACACGUGCUACAAUGGACAGUACAAAGGGCAGCGAAACCGCGAGGUCAAGCAAAUCCCAUAAAGCCGUUCUCAGUUCGGAUUGUAGUCUGCAACUCGAUUACAUGAAGUCGGAAUCGCUAGUAAUCGCGGAUCAGCCA